UCUCUCUCUCUCUCUCUCUCUCUCUCUCUCUAUCUCGUGACUCUCCGCGGACUUUAGUGUGUGUGACCCUUCUGGUAUGCACAUAUGCUGCGGUAAUCAUUCUACACCUGCAGCAAAACAAGGACAACAACUAAGCGCAUGACACCUGCCUAGAUCUAGAAGAAAUAUAAGAAGUUUCCGCUAUCGAAUUGGCGGCGCUGCUGACGUCGACUUGACGUAGCUGUACAUUCAAAUUUGAACUUCAGUCAAGUAUCAAAGCUGAAAGGAUUAACAUGUUCUGCACCUCUAGGCAGCUAGUGUCUAGAUUUUUUAUCAAAUGUAAUAUCCAGACCGUGAACCAAUUGAACUAUUAUUUAAAUUAUUGUGAUCAGUAACUAGUUCGAACUGAAUGGAAAAUUAGCAAUUGGACCAAUUAGUGUGCCAAUUUUUACACAAUGGCAGUGCAGCAACAACAAAAUUCAUCAUUCCUCGACGAUCAUGUACCAGAUCCCCAGCCAUUGAAUUUUUGUAUGCCAAAUCCACAAACAUAUAAAAUUCAAGGCAAUAUCAGCAGCGAAACAAGCUCAGGUGCUAAUCGUUCGCUACAUGUAAAAAAAAACGACAGCACCUAAAGCCGAUAUCAAUGUUGCCCUGUUUACAUUAUGUACACAAAAUGGUCAACCUACGAAAGGUACUAAUCGACCUCAUCCUUAUCGCCAUCGACAUCGUUUCAUACCCCUCUGCGACGUUAUUGAUAAAAAAAGCAAGAUGGCGACCAUGACUCAAACUCUGGAACAGGAUUGCGUGACUACAACGAUUUAAUUAUAACGGUACGUUGGCGUGGUAUCGAGCGCAGUACGAUGGCGACAUGGCCGUUUUACCUACUUGGCUGACUUGGAGACGUGUGCACAAUGAGUUGUGUCUGUCGCUCAAACACCGUCAAUAUCUAAAGGAAUCGAAAUCAAGAAUAAAAUCGCUAUCACUUGACUUUAUGAGAUUUUCCCCACGGUUUGCAAUUUUUAAAUGGCUUAAAGGGAUUUUGAAUUUAACCAUUGAGACUAACGAAACCCCUGAUAAAACGAAUUUAUUUUCGUCGAAAAAGGAAACACGUUACAAUAUGGGUGAGGUAAUAUUACCAGAUCAACAGUACGAAAACCCACAUACAAAUGAAUUUAAUAAAAGCAAGCACAGCAAAAGGAAAACGAUAUCUGAAACAUUUAUCGACAACAAUUGCAUUUGACGCCGACGCAAAAAAGUUGCAACUUAGUAUGCAAAGGAUAUUAUUAAAACGGAGAACGAGCUUCUCGAGCUGAAAAAUGAGAUGGAACAAUUUACAUUCCUAAUAAACAACCUUAAGCAAAUGGUAUUGCAAAAAAGUACAAAAACGGUUGAGGAAAUUAAGUCCGUUAUAAUAUUUAUGAAUUCUGCGACAAUAAUGCAAGCAUGUUAGAUUACCUCUGUAUUAUAAGUUUACCAAUAAAAUUUUUGUAAUACUAAUAGUA